UAAGUGGCUUUGAGAUCAGCGGAACGCUCUGGAAAGUGCGGCCAUAGUGGGUGAUAGCCCUGUACGCGAAAAUCUCUUAGUCAUGAAAUCGAGUAGGACGGAGCACGAGAAACUUUGUCUGAAUAUGGGGGGACCAUCCUCCAAGGCUAAAUACUACUGACUGACCGAUAGUGAACUAGUACCGUGAGGGAAAGGCGAAAAGAACCCCGGAGAGGGGAGUGAAAUAGAUCCUGAAACCGUAUGCGUACAAGCAGUGGGAGCC
rnacentral:rRNA from 1 species